AAAAAAGGUAAGCUACUAAGAGCGAAUGGUGGAUGCCUUGACUGGUAGAGGCGAUGAAGGACGUACUAGACUGCGAUAAGCUACGGGGAGCUGUCAAGAAGCUUUGAUCCGUAGAUUUCCGAAUGGGGCAACCCAAUGUAUAGAGAUAUACAUUACCUAUAUAGGAGCGAACGAGGGGAAUUGAAACAUCUUAGUACCCUCAGGAAAAGAAAUCAAUAGAGAUUGCGUCAGUAGCGGCGAGCGAAAGCGCAAGAGGGCAAACCCAGUGCUUGCACUGGGGGUUGUAGGACUGCAAUGUGCAAGAGGUAAGUUUAGCAGAACAUUCUGGAAAGUAUAACCAUAGAGGGUGAUAGUCCCGUAUGCGAAAAACAAACCUUAGCUAGCAGUAUCCUGAGUAGGGCGGGACACGAGGAAUCCUGUCUGAAUCCGGGUCGACCACGAUCCAACCCUAAAUACUAAUACCAGAUCGAUAGUGCACAAGUACCGUGAGGGAAAGGUGAAAAGAACUGAGGUGAUCAGAGUGAAAUAGAACCUGAAACCAUUUGCUUACAAUCAUUCAGAGCACUAUGUAGCAAUACAGUGUGAUGGACUGCCUUUUGCAUAAUGAGCCUGCGAGUUGUGGUGUCUGGCAAGGUUAAGCAAACGCGAAGCCGUAGCGAAAGCGAGUCUGAAUAGGGCGCUUAGUCAGAUGCUGCAGACCCGAAACGAAGUGAUCUAUCCAUGAGCAAGUUGAAGCUAGUGUAAGAACUAGUGGAGGACUGAACCCAUAGGCGUUGAAAAGCCCCGGGAUGACUUGUGGAUAGGGGUGAAAGGCCAAUCAAACUUCGUGAUAGCUGGUUCUCUCCGAAAUAUAUUUAGGUAUAGCGUUGUGUCGUAAUAUAAGGGGGUAGAGCACUGAAUGGGCUAGGGCAUACACCAAUGUACCAAACCCUAUCAAACUCCGAAUACCUUAUAUGUAAUCACAGCAGUCAGGCGGCGAGUGAUAAAAUCCGUCGUCAAGAGGGAAACAACCCAGACUACCAGCUAAGGUCCCUAAAUCUUACUUAAGUGGAAAACGAUGUGAAGUUACUUAAACAACCAGGAGGUUGGCUUAGAAGCAGCCAUCCUUUAAAGAAAGCGUAAUAGCUCACUGGUCUAGUGAUUUUGCGCGGAAAAUAUAACGGGGCUAAAGU
rnacentral:rRNA from 1 species